AAUAAGUGCAGCCGUAGAAAUCCGUAUCCAACGUUUAACCGUCCGUCUUAUUUGAAAAAUUUAUGAUUUUUUUUUAAAAAAAUUAUAAAGUACUAUUUAUAUUUUAUCAUCUAAUAACAAUAAAAAUAGUAAUUAUAAAAAAAUUUCAAAUAAGACGAACGGUUAAACGUUGGAAAUGAAUAGUAUAAAACUACACUUAUU
rnacentral:pre_miRNA from 1 species